ensembl:lncRNA
CCCCCGUGUGGGGGCCCGGCCCAGGCUCGGGGCGGCUGAUUUGGGGUGGCCUGGAGGGAAACUCUGAGCUGGGAGUCAGCACUGCUCACGUAAGUCAAUUGUCUCACCAUCCUGGAAUGAACAGAUUGAUAGAGCCACUCAGAGAGAGAAGGAGGGUUAAGUUCUGAGGGCACAGGCAAGGCUUUUGCCAAAGAAGUGACUUGAAGUGAGCAGAUAGGGCUUCACGGGCAGCAGAUUCGGGUUCAGGGCUGGGCCGUCUGGCCGGGGGAACAGCUGGAGCAGAGUGUGGCUGAGGAAGCUGCAGUGCUCAUGGGAGAUGGUGGAGGCUUCAGCUUGGACCAGGGCUGCCAUGGGAAGGAGAGCAAGGAGGCAAGAGGGGGCGAUUCUUGUGGUCCAGUGACAGGGACCCUGGACACUUCUCUUUCAUCCUGAGCUUCAGGGUAGUUUGACCAUCCUCUCCACACCUAAGCCACUCCCUGGACCCCUUCCGGGCCCUCGCUCUUCCAUCUGUGUGUCUGUAGAUGCUUCGCGAAGCCCUUUAGGGGGUGCUUUCACACCCAUCCACACCUGCUCCUCCAUCGGCCCCACCAGACCUGUCUUAUAGGUGCUGCAUAAUAGGCGUGGCUGUCUCCAUCUGGGGCCUUCCCAGCUGGCACUAGUGGUAAAGAACCCGCCUGCCAAUGCAGGAGAUGUAAGAGAUGCAGGUUCGACCCCUGGUUCAGAGGAUCUUCCCGACCCAGGGAUUGAACCCAGGUCUCCUGCACUGCAGGCGUUUUCUUUACCAUCUGAGCUACCAGGGAUGCCCAUAUUGGAUGGGGACCCACCUUAAUUUUAAUUUAAUCACCCUUUUAAAGAUGCCACCUUUGUAUAUAGUCACGUUCUGAGGUACUGGGGUUAGGAUUUCAGCCUAUGAGCUGGGAGGGGGACACAUUUCAAGCCGUAUCCGUCACCCAUCUUUGAGCUCCUUGGCCGCUGUUGCCAAAUUCACUGCUGUUCUUAGCAACCCACGUUUGCUUCCCUCUCUGACCAAAUGCACUCUGAUGCUCUUCCCCUGUGGACUUCAGAGAGUGGUGGACCCACCCUAGUUUUAACUUAAUCACCCUUUUAAAGAUGCCACCUUUGCAUAUAGCCACAUUCUGAGGUACCGGGGUUAGGGCUUUAACAUAUGGAUUUGGUCAGGACACAGCUCAAACCAUAGCAG